GAUGAAGAACGCAGCGAAAUGCGAUACGUAAUGUGAAUUGCAAAUUCAGUGAAUCAUCGAGUCUUUGAACGCACAUUGCGCCCCCUGGUAUUCCGGGGGGCAUGCCUGUCCGAGCGUCAUUGCUGCCCUCAAGCACGGCUUGUGUCUUGGGCCCCGUCCUCCGAUCCCGGGGGACGGGCCCGAAAGGCAGCGGCGGCACAGCGUCCGGUCCUCGAGCGUAUGGGGCUUUGUCACCCGCUCUGUAGGCCCGGCCGGCGCUUGCCGAUCAACCCAAAUUUUUAUCCAGGUUGACCUCGGAUCAGGUAGGGAUACCCGCUGAACUUAAGCAUAUCAAUAAGCGGAGGA
rnacentral:misc_RNA from 1 species